GUCUGCAGGAACAAGCACAGUGCUGUGAGAGAGGAAGAGUUGGGAGAGACAGUGAGAGGGCCCAUCCCCAACUGGCCCUGCCCUAUGGCCCCCCCAGGCCCCCCACUCUGUCCCAUCAGCCCUUUGCCUAUGGUUCCUAUGAUUCCUACCCAGACCACCUCCCCUGCUCCAGGCCCCACACCUUCUCCCCUCUGGUAAAUCACUCCUGCCCAGACCGCUAUAUCUCAGCACCAGUCAUCUGGGAUCUCCUCAGCUCUUCCUCUGCUCUCCUUUCUGUCCUAGGCCCCAGCGCUGCUGGGGAGCCUGUACUGGCUCUGAGAAGUCUGCGCAUGGUGCGGCUGCAACAAUGAAGGACCAAGGUCUCCUGCCUGGUCCCAGAGCAGUGGCAGGAGCUGCCCAGCAAAGGCAAAGACGAGGUCCGUGAGGGGCCCAAAGCCAGCAUUGUGCAUCUGGGUCCGGUUCAGGGUCAGCCCAUCGGAGAAGGUCAUGGUGUCCUGCUCCGGGGUGUACCUUGUGCAGAUCCGUAGCAUCUGGAGGCUGUGGCGGGAGACAGGCCACCAGGCUUAACUCACCAGGAUGUCCAGGCAGGCGGCCUUGAGCAGAGUGAUCUGGUCAGCAAUGCUGAGCCCGGUAAAGCCAGGCAGCCGCUUGGCAAACUCCACGAUCUUGAUGAUGCACUUGGUGGCCAGCUCACUGAACUUAUCCCAGAGCCCCAGAUCCAGCUGCACCCGGUGGUCUGCACUGGAGUUCUACAGGGAAGGCAGGAACCACUGAGGCAGCGGAGCAAAUGAGACACAAGUAUCAAGAAAGCAGGUCAGAGGAUAUGCAAUAGCCUGAUUUUACACCUGGAGGAACGGAGGCCAAGAGAGGGAAGUGGCCAACGCAGGGCCACACUACCAGUUGAUGGUGGAGCCAAGCCGCUUAGGUCCUCUGACUAAGUCUAAGUGGCCUGGCAGGGACUCAAGAGAAGUUGGGGAAGGAGAGACCGAGAUAUUUGCUCCGAUUCUCAGGUCCAGAAGAGGCUGGGGGUGUAGCAAAGCAGGAAAAGUCAGGUGACAGUAGGUAAACAGGGCUCAUGGGGGAGGGGAGCUACCUCUGGACCCUCUCUGAGCCUAGGUCUUCACUCCUAAACUUCCCACACCAAUACCCAAUUGCAGCUCAAAGGUGGGGAGGGGGGUU